CAAGGUAAAGCUUACACUUUUUACAUUGAGAAAUGAGGUUGGUUGAGGAGAUUGAUAAUAAGAUUAGUUAAGAUUGUUGGCUAGAUGACUUUGGUUGCUAAGCUAGGAUAUUGCAUAAUGUAUUUCUGUAAGAAGGAACUUUUAGAUGUGGAAUGCAAUAUUAUAGAGGUGAUGAUUUUCAUGUUUCAAAUCUGUGAGUCCCUGAUGUUCUCAACCCUCUUCCAGAGAGACUGU
rnacentral:lncRNA from 1 species